CAUGUGUUACCCUUCUGCAUGAAGAUGUAGA
rnacentral:piRNA from 1 species